CGAGACCUCAGGUCAGACGGGGCUACCCGCUGAGUUU
rnacentral:rRNA from 1 species